UACGUAGGGUGCAAGCGUUGUCCGGAAUUAUUGGGCGUAAAGAGCUUGUAGGCGGUUUGUCGCGUCUGCUGUGAAAUUUCGGGGCUCAACCCCGAACUUGCAGUGGGUACGGGCAGACUAGAGUGUGGUAGGGGAGAGUGGAAUUCCUGGUGUAGCGGUGAAAUGCGCAGAUAUCAGGAAGAACACCCGUGGCGAAGGCGGCUCUCUGGGACGGUACUGACGCUGAGACGCGAAAGCGUGGGGAGCAAACAGG
rnacentral:rRNA from 1 species